rnacentral:rRNA from 1 species
UACAGAGGGUGCGAGCGUUGUUCGGAAUUAUUGGGCGUAAAGCGCUUGUAGGCGGCCUGUCAAGUCGCGUGUGAAAUCCCCUGGCUCAACCAGGGAAGUGCGCGCGAAACUGCCGGGCUUGAGGUCGGAAGGGGAAAGUGGAAUUCCGGGUGUAGUGGUGGAAUACGUAGAUAUCCGGAGGAACACCAGCGGCGAAGGCGGCUUUCUGGUCCGAUACUGACGCUGAGGUGCGAAAGCGUGGGGAGCGAUCCGG